UAUUUAGUAGUUGUUUCCUUAUGCGAUUGGUAUUCAUAAAAGAUGCAUCCCAAUCGUCUCUGUCUUCCGUAUAUUGUUUAUCCGUGAUGAAACCAGACGCCAUCUGUGUGUGCAUACCAAAACAUCUCCAUGGCUGGCUCUUCUUCCAGGCGGUCCAAGCGGCUUAGGAAUAGUUCAUCCGGUGGUGUUCCAGUAUGAUUUGCUCUCGGUAUUCUUCGAGGAUGUUGGGUUCCCUGCUUUAGAUAUAAAGGUCAAACAGUUAAAGCCUAGACGUCUUCACAUUUCAUGGCGCUUCCUUCUUGGGAUUGUGAUAUUCGAAGGGGUGAUGCACGGUGUUUGAUUGUUUUAUGUGUGUAGUUCUUGCAAGAAAUUCCCUGCUUUAUGUUUGUUGUUGUAUGGGGGAAUUGUUGUAUUUUUAUAAUGUAUCAAAAUUAUUUAUUCGUGUUGGGGGUGUGCGGGACAGACUUGGUCAGUAAAAUGCACAUGCUGUAAACCACACAUGCACACACUUUCAUGUUAGAACCACUAAAUAUUAACUGUUGAAUGUUGGUUAGCAGGUUGGUUAUAGUCCAUUUUCUUAAUUUA